UCUUUCUCAUAGUUGCCAUUGUCGCUAGUUUCAACCAUACGAAACCAAAAUUCUGCAGACAAGGAAGUGAUGAUGGUAUCGAUGUAUGUGUGUUUCAUAUUUCAAAUCGCGGAUGCAGAAUUUGUUCGAUUUCUAUCUUAUUUCUUAAAUUUUUUGGAGCUCAGUCCUAGUUUGGGGUUUAGUUUUUUAUUUAAGUUUGGAGCUCCAUUUUUUGGAGCUCAAUCCUAGUUGAUUUAAGUUUCCGAUGCAGAAUUUAGUUUUUGAUUUAAGAGUCCACAUAAUAUAGUUUUUUCGAUUACUGCAAUGCUCUUGUGCUUUUUCUUAAGUGGUUAUUUCUCAAUACUAUAUGCUAUGUGUAUGAUUGUGUUGUGACCAUUUUGUUGGUCAUUUUUGUUUUAAUCAGCGUUCUUGUGCUCUGAUUUUGGAUAUGUGCACUUGUUUGAAUUAUGCUUUCUACACCUUGAAAUUAUUCUCCAUAAAUUUAUUUAUGUUUCCAUGAAAUUAAAUUGCUCUAGUUGAUAGAAAUUCCCCACAUCCCUGAAAUUGCUAGGAACUAUCUCUGGUAUUUCUGGUUCUUUUUCUCCAGCAUGACUAUUUUACAGUGUUAGACAUAUGACGUCAUGUCUUUUCCUUUCCUUUUUUCCAAAUAUAUUAGCUCAAGCGUGAUCAACUCAUCUGUCAUGUAUGUCUCAGUGUUUAUUGUACGAUUAAUAUCUCUUAUGCCCUACAUCCUCUUCUAUCAGCUGGACGUAAUAGCUUUCAGACGUGAUGGACGGCAAUUGCCAGUAUAUAGCGAGGUUCAGAAAUGGGACUUCUCCCAUGUUGUCUUUGCUAUUAAUGUAACUCUCACCUCAACAUAUGCACAUAUUUAGCAAAAAUGAUGAUAGUAUCUUCUAUUGCAGUUAGUAUCAGAGCUGUAUAAAGAACAGGGGAGUGGUGUUUAUGUAAUUGCUGCAACAAAUCGGGCUUUGCAGAUUUUUAAUUGGUGCUUGACUUGAUCAUCUAGGGCUUUCUUUCUCUUCACUCUCUAUACGAACAGUAUAUCACUCCGUGCUUGACUCGUGAGAAGUAUAGGAAGAAGUCAAGCACAAGAAAAGAGAUUGAAAGAUUCUGAGCAGAAGUCUUUGAAGGAGGGAAUUCCUGUCAAGAAGUGCGUGUAUGAUUCCUUCAAGACAUUGCACUUGAAUAAAGAUGGAACGUAUACCUACAAGAAGGCUGAAAAAGUUGAUGCGAGAGUGAAGGCGAUUGCUGAGGAGCAAGGAGAAAGUGCUGAUAUGAAUCAGAUAUAUCUGGAUGAGGUGAUGGGAGGCCGCCUCGAUAAGAAGCAGAGGAUGUUCGGCACCGGUACCCUUGCACGGAGUCUCGUGGGCGGUACAUCACAGACUUUCCAUUCACAGCAGGUUGAUGCUCGAAUUGAAGAGCUGCAGCAGCAGCUUCAGGAGGAGCGUGAGCAUAGACAGCAGGAGCUUCAGGCGGAGCGCGAGCACAGACAGCAGGAGCUUCAGGCGGAGCGCGAGCAGAGAGCCCGAUUGGAGGAGUCACUUCGGUUAACUAAUGAGAUGCUCCAGCAGUUCUUGAGGUCCCAGCAGUCGAGGAGUAGUGGCUCAGGAGGAUCUUAGCUAUAUCAUGUAGUAUAUUUAGUACAUUUUGAUGCAUUAUUAUGAUAUUUCGCUUGGAUUUAGUUUAUUUAGUACUUUUUAUGUUAUUAUGAUACUUACAUAAAUAUAUUGUUGGAUAUUGAACAAUUUCGAAUGAAUUUUAAAUUAUGUUUA